UUGGAGGGCAAGUCUGGUGCCAGCAGCCGCGGUAAUUCCAGCUCCAAUAGCGUAUAUUAAAGUUGUUGCAGUUAAAAAGCUCGUAGUUGAAUUUCGGGAUCAUCAGGUUGGUCGUGCCAUUGGUAUGUACUAGCUUUGGUGGUUCCUACCUCUUGAAGAACCGUAAUGUCAUUAACUUGGUGUUGCGGGGAAUCAGGACUGUUACUUUGAAAAAAUUAGAGUGUUUAAAGCAGGCAAACGCUUGAAUACAUUAGCAUGGAAUAAUGAAAUAGGACGUUUGAUCUUAUUUUGUUGGUUUCUAGGAUCGACGUAAUGAUUAAUAGGGAUAGUUGGGGGCAUUAGUAUUCAAUUGUCAGAGGUGAAAUUCUUGGAUUUAUUGAAGACUAACUACUGCGAAAGCAUUUGCCAAGGAUGUUUUCAUUAAUCAAGAACGAAAGUUAGGGGAUCGAAGACGAUCAGAUACCGUCGUAGUCUUAACCAUAAACUAUGCCGACUAGGGAUCGGAUGAUGUUAAUUUUUUAAUGACUCGUUUGGCACCUUACGGGAAAC
rnacentral:rRNA from 1 species